rnacentral:sRNA from 1 species
AUUCGAUAUUUCUCUUCCAUGUUUUUCGUUCUUUUUCUUUUUAAGUGGUAGAAGAUAUUCUCUAACUCCAUAAACUUAUGUGUUAGCUUGUUUACACGUUGGUGAUAGUUGAUUGGUCAGUUAGAGAAUAGAUCUGGAUCUUGUUCUAAAAAUGUUACAAUCUUUCUAAUAUUUAGAUUUGCAGCUGUUUAUUUUUGGUGUUUUAUUGAGGUUUCAUUCCAAUAGUCGUUACAGUUUUAUUGUAUUUCUUAGUCAAGAUAGGAAGCUUUUUAUAUGAGAUGGUAUAUUCGAUAUGAGAAAUUUACACAGUAGUGUAUACACUUACGUAUGAUGGUGCAAAAAUCUUCCAUCCGCAUGUCAUGUCGUUUUGGUAGGCAGAGCGGCCAUCUUUUGCACAUAUUAAUCUUUGAGUGCCUUUAUCAUGUUUGACCCUUCGGUAUGUAAAAGAUCGCUAUUUCAAUAUCUCUUCAGUAAUAUUGAAAUCGAUUUUUUACCUUGGCAUACAAUUUUGAAUUUUCUACUUAACAAAUUGUUUUGAAUUUUUUUUAAUUGUUUUAGACUUUUAGGCAUGUUUAUUGUUGUACUUUGGUUU